UACAGAGGGUGCGAGCGUUGUCCGGAGUUACUGGGCGUAAAGGGUGCGCAGGCGGCGGUGCGCGUGGCGAGAUGAAAUCUCCUGGCUUACCUGGGAGGGUGGUCGCCAGACGGCAUCGCUUGAGGGUCGGAGAGGGGCGUGGAAUUCCGGGUGGAGCGGUGAAAUGCGUAGAUAUCGAGAGGAACACCAGUGGCGAAGGCGAGUCCCUGGACAACACCUGACACUGAGGCACGAAAGCUAGGGGAGCAAACAGG
rnacentral:rRNA from 1 species